rnacentral:rRNA from 1 species
UACGUAGGGUGCAAGCGUUAAUCGGAAUUACUGGGCGUAAAGCGUGCGCAGGCGGCUUUGCAAGACAGAUGUGAAAUCCCCGGGCUUAACCUGGGAACUGCAUUUGUGACUGCAUGGCUGGAGUGCGGCAGAGGGAUGCGGAAUUCCAGGUGUAGCAGUGAAAUGCGUAGAGAUGUGGAGGAAUACCGAUGGCGAAGGCAGCCCCCUGGGCCAAUACUGACGCUCAUGCACGAAAGCGUGGGGAGCAAACAGG